rnacentral:rRNA from 1 species
GUCGGGAAUUUUGGGCAAUGGGCGAAAGCCUGACCCAGCAACGCCGCGUGAAGGAUGAAGUUUUUCGGAAUGUAAACUUCGUAAGAAUAGGAAGAAUAAAUGACGGUACUAUUUGUAAGGUCCGGCUAACUACGUGCCAGCAGCCGCGGUAAUACGUAGGGACCAAGCGUUGUUCGGAUUUACUGGGCGUAAAGGGCGCGUAGGCGGCAAUUCAAGUCAGCUGUGAAAUCUCCGGGCUUAACUCGGAACGGUCAGCUGAUACUGCUUUGCUAGAGUACAGAAGGGGCAAUCGGAAUUCUUGGUGUAGCGGUGAAAUGCGUAGAUAUCAAGAGGAACACCUGAGGUGAAGACGGGUUGCUGGGCUGAUACUGACGCUGAGGCGCGAAAGCUAGGGUAGCAAACGGG